rnacentral:lncRNA from 1 species
AUGGGUUUGGAGUUGCCCGGUCUUCCAAUCAAUCUCUCUCACACACAUACACACACAGCAUAUUCAAAUUGUAUUGAUCAGAUUCGAAAUCUUCCGCCUUCGAUCACCGUCUCUGUCGGCCGUCACCACCUUCCUGUAAGUUCGGUCAAGAUUUUUUCUUUAGUCAAAUCAAAAUUACUUGCUUUAGCAGCCGCCAAAUUAUCAGAGUUUUUUUUUUUUUUUUGGUGUUAAAUUCAUCAAUUUGUGUUUCCUCAAGUCCGAUCGAUGAUUAUCGGUUUCGGGUCUUCACCUUAACUACCGAAACGAAGACUUUUAUUCGGGCUUUCUAUGGUGGGUAAAAAGGAAUUCGCACAAAUCAUCGUUAGGUUUUGGAUAGAUGUGAUGCGGAGAAGGAAUCUUAGUAUCUUACAUAGAAUCAUAUAUCUCAACUUGACAAAAUCUUUCCAUUUUCCAUCCUAUAUCUACACCAGCAUCAAUACAAACUAUAAAAUUAGAAGAAAAACUAACAAUAAUUAGGAAAAAAAAGGGGGUUUGGUGGGUUUAACUUGUCUUCCACUACAAUUAUCAGAAGCAACCAAUAAGUUAACUGAUAUACUGUAUCUAUGUACAGAUAAAAAGUAACCGUACAUGAAUAUUCAGGAAUAGGAAGGUUAAACACAGGACUUGAAGAUCAAUAAAUUUCAAGCCCUAGUGUCACACUGAGACAGAGACGAAGGAAAAAAUGGCUAUAGAUCCAACUUCAGUAUCUGAUCCUGC